UGCGUAGGCGGUUCUAUAAGUCAGUGGUGAAAUACGGCAGCUUAACUGUCGAGGUGCCAUUGAUACUGUAGAACUUGAGUAUAGACGAGGUAGGCGGAAUUGACGGUGCAGCGGUGAAAUGCUUAGAUAUCGUCAAGAACACCGAUAGCGAAGGCAGCUUACUAGACUAAAACUGACGCUGAGGCACGAAAGUGUGGGGAUCAAACAGGAUUAGAUACCCUGGUAGUCCACACUGUAAACGAUGAUUACUCGAUGUUGGCGAUACACAGCCAGCGUCUUAGCAAAAGCGAUAAGUAAUCCACCUGGGGAGUACGCCGGCAACGGUGAAACUCAAAGGAAUUGA
rnacentral:rRNA from 1 species